GGGGAGAUUCCCAGUCUGUUACAUGCAUUCCUGAACUCAACAUGACUGCCAGGAGUGAAAGCCUUAAACCUCAGGGACUAUGAAAUCUCAUCAACAGCCCAUAGAAUGUUUUUCUCUUGUCAAGAGAAUAUGAUGUUUGUAGUGGCAAAUUUCCUGCAUCAUGAGAGGCAGCAAGCUGUACGAUCGAGCUCCAAGAGAAAAGAGAAAAAUAGGGCCAAACAACACGUUACAGGGAGCUUAGAAAAAAGCUGCCAUGAAACCUAUCUCAUGAGGAUGGCCACAUCGCCAAAAAAGAGGACAUGUAUCACAAAAGAGUCUAUUGACCAUGUGCUACCAAUUGAUGGACAACUUCAAGGCUGCUGCAUUCCGUUUUUGUGGUUCUUUAUUAUCUAUAAACCAGACUUGAACUGAACAAUCUUUGAAACAAGACACCCUCAAGAGUACUAUCCUCUGUACAGUAACACACAUAAACACUUUACACUUCAUGUACCAUAUAGCCAAAUCUAAUUGACUUUAUAGCAUUGUGAAGCCAUUCCAUUCACUGUAUGAUCUAUGAUUUUGGGGGAUCCAAAAUCUAGGAAGAAGGAAUAAACAAUUUAUGCUUUUCCUUAUAUAGCUGCAAAUACAAACCACUAAGAACUUUUGCUCAAAUAUGCAGUUAUUUUAUAUACCUAGUCUCCAUAUUUAGGGAAACAUUCCUCAUUUAAAAUCUAAAACACAGAAUAUUGUCUACUGUUCUCAAGUCAUUCAUUUUUUUAUUACAAAACAUGGGCUUUAGAAAUAUGGAAAGGGCAAAACAUUCAUGAUUUUUUUCACCAAGAUAGCUCAGAAAGGACAAAAUGCCCCAUGAAAAAUAUUUGAUUAUCUCUGGAAUAUGACCAAACAGCCCCAGUUGUUUUUUCAAGGGAAAUAAAGCAUGAUCUCAAUUGCACUGUUAUACUGUUCUGCAGUGAAGCAAGGGGGAAAUCUUCUGGCAAAAGACAGGGGGAUUUCCAAUUAUGUAGUUUUGGGGGUUAUUUUUUAUCCUUGAAAUAAAUUCUUAAACUGAAUUAUCCCACAUGUUGUGCUUGGAGGUAUUCCCAGUGAUUUGCUCAGCAGGAGACAAGUGGAGGAUGGAUCCAAGCUCACCCAGAUCCAGUUUUGA